AUGUGAGAGCGAAAUAGGCAUACGGCAGGUUUCCCGUGAUAAAAACUUGUGUGGCACACAAAUUCGUAAACAAAUGAAGCCGUUACUGGAAUAUUCUGGCAACGCUGUAAAACGAAAAAAUUAUUACGUACACAUACAUAAUUGCGAUUGUUCAUUAUUUUAUGCGGUAGAGAAAAAUUUGGUUAAAAAUAAACAUUUAACUUAUAGUGUUUAUGAUAAUAUUUAUAAUAUAAUAAAUCGCGUGGUGUUUAAUAGUUAUUUCGGAAAAUACCAUAGUUUGCCGUUUUAUGUGUUUAAAUAUAAGAAAGAUAAGUGCAAUCAGUGCAUAUAUGUAUACUACAUAUAAAAAUUGCGCUGGUAAAUUGGUGUAAUUGUACUUCAGCGAGUUAGAAGCCCGUCCAUCUCGCUCUAGCUUAGGUUCCUGAAAAUAAAAUUUAUCGCGUUAUGUUUUGAUCGCUCGAAUCGUUUAGAAUACAAUACCUGUAAUGUUGUAAUUUUCAGACAGGAGCAAUUAACUAAAAGUUCUAUGAAAAAUUAAACGCAUUUUAUUGCAUUGGAAAUCAGUUAAAUUGUUCUGCAUGUAAAAAACAGUUCGAAAUGUAUCAACACAUUCAGUUACGAAGAUCGUCGAAUUGGUCUUCUAAGCCCACUUCCCAAAAAGUGGACGGAUUAAAUGCGUAUAAAGAAAAGGAAGUUAUUGAAAUCUACGAUGACGAUGAUGUGCUGGUUUUAAAGGAGUUGUCUAAUAAAAUGGAUGAACUUGAAGAAGUAAUAUUAGUUGAAGAUGAUGAUGCUUUAAGUUUACCACAACUAAGUAAUGAGAGCUGGAGCGAUUUCGUGGAUGAAUUAACAAAAAAAUACGAAUAUGACGCGCUUCAAUCAACUUCCGUACCUCAGACCACUAAAGCAAAAAGAAAAUUCCAUAUUUCUGCUCGUAAUCUAUCACGAGCACAACGAGGUUAUGCCGCAACUACAGAUGAUAAUGUGAUCAGUAUCAGUAGCGACGAAGAUGAACAAUCUAGUACAGUUCUACCUACAGAGCAUACACAUUCUUCGAGUACGGAUUUCUCGUCAACGAUACAAGUACCAGCGGCUACUAAGAGCUGCAACUCUCCGUCGCAGUGCGAGUUGUUAAAAUCAGUAGUGAAUGAAGGUAUUAAGAGUUUAGAAGAAGAAAAUAAAUUGGACAGUGGUCAGUUAAUUGAGCAUAGUGCAACAGCAGCACCCGAAAGAAUAAAUAAUGAAACAACUCAACAAAGUACUGAGCCAAUUUCAAACUUAACGCUGCUUGCGGCAGAUGCGCAAAACCCAAUGCAGCACAAUGUCAUGACUGAAUCAAAUAGCAGUACUGCCUGCACAGAUAAUAUAACAUUAUCAGAGUCUUUGCGGAGCAAGGCCCCUAGUCUGAGCAAACAUAAAGGGUUGUCUGGAAUCAACAAAAAGUACCAUGACAUUAAACGUAGAACGUAUAAAUUGACAUUUCAUCAAAUUUUACAAAUCUUCGACAUUGAAAAGGCGGCCCUAUCAGCUAUAGGUGCAGUGCCUGGUGAACCUAUAGAGUUGGACUUUCCAGAUCUUGAUAUGAGAGAGUUUGUAAAAAUAGUCAAAAAUUACCAAGAGACAGAGUCCGUAGAUGAUGUGAGACACUUAUGGACGCAGAUUAAAAGUUGGUUAAGCGCCAUGAAGCCAGCAUAUGGUACCACUACAAAUUACACGAAAUAUCACAAAAAGUUAAAUUGGUACUUAUCUGAGUUAAUGGCACAAUAUAUCAAAUUCGAAAUAGAGCACAGCAUACAAAACGAAAACUACUAUAAAUUGAAAAUGGAGGCGUUGAUGCAUACCGUAUCCUCCUUGCUGAAUGAUGAUGUUAAUUUGAAAAUUUUAACUUUGCUGCGCACAAAUUUCCCCGAAAGGCCCAGCAACUUUCUGGAUGAUCUCUUCAAGAAAUUCUUAACCCACCCGCAAGUGCGUUUGGAAAAUAAUGACUACGGUAUUUAUCGGCUGAAAGUGUUAGCUUUUCAAAAAUGGAUGCACUAUUCAAAUAGAAAAAAGGAAGAUAUAGUGGAUAUUGCGAUUAAGGAGGGUUCUGCUUAUCUACCAAGACUGGUACCAAAAAAUACAGAGGAUCCAUUCUAUAGAGUUGAUUACAAUGUUCAGCUAAUUGAUGAUUACGAUAAGCAAGGCACAAGAAAACUAUUGGCGGAGAACGUUAGCAUUGAUGUGCUAAAAAAUACAAUUAAUAAUUAUCUGCUGGUGUACGAAAGGCAACUAUUUGAUGAUGUCGUUUACAGAUUAUCGCGUCGUCAAUGUUUGGAGCACUUGCUAACACGAUACCAGAACGAUGCACUGAAAGCUGAGGAAAGACAAACGCCGGGCGUACCUCAUCUCGCCUCCAGGGAGAAAGCAAUGCAUGCGCAGGUACAGCCCGAAGGCGAUUACAUUGAGGACCAUAAAAACAAGCAAGCAACGUCGAGCUGAGCAACGCAUUUUCCAGUCGGAUGUGAUAUACGGAAAAGUAGAUUAAGAGGCCCUGUAGAUUUAAUAUAUGUAGGUCUUUAGUUGCUAAGUCCUAAUGUGAUAUUAGUUUAAGUUGUAAAUCCUUAAGUUCUAAAGAUAUUUUUCGCACGAUUCAACCGAUGAUGAAAAACAGCGAAAUGGAGAGACUCCACCAAGUGCUAGCAGAGAUCUCGUGCAGUGCAAUGCAAGUGCUUACCAAAAUGCGCUCGAUGUCGGCACAGUGGAGAUUUUGGAGCGUCGCGAACUAGAUCAGCCGGUUGUUAUGGGUGAACGUGGCUUCCAGCCGGGAAAACUGCUGCUCGGCAUCGAUUAUAGCGACGAUGAGAAUGAAUGUUGCGUGGGAAUUUCGUUGUUGGCAGUGAUACUGGUGCUCAUCAUAUCUACAACGGUAUCAUUAUACCGAUGAUUGGUGGCUAUUAAAAGUGGUAAAAGAGACCAUCUCAUCUACAGCAGUCUUUCAACGCAUACAGUGGCUUGAGAAAGGAAUUGCAGCAAAAGCUUUGAUAAUUAUCGAGGCGACGCCAGAUGAGCUGGCUGGACUAUCGCUAGUGACUGCGAAGUAUAUGAGGAGGCUGCAUCUACGAAAUCAGCUUUGACGCAUACAAAGGAUGCGGAAUUGCUGAGAGAUGUGUGUGAGCCAAUUCCUAAACUUACGAAAAGUUCGGACAUCAAUCAGGAUUUAAUGAUGGAAGUGAAGAUAUCGAAUGUAAUAGCAGAAGAGCACACAAAGGAUAUGGAAAGUUUACUGAAACCAGUGUAAGAUGUGGAUAACGGUAAUAAAUUAUAAUUACAAGAAAAGGAUAACGCGGUCGCAGCAGAGAAACCUGCAAAAACAUUCUCAUCACCUGCUGUUAAAAAUGCCGAGAAGCAACCCGUAUUAAACAUGCCUAAGGUGAAACCCGCAAUAACAUCCUCAUCAACUUCUGUUAACAAUGCCGAGGAGGAAAAGCAACCCGUAUUAAGCAUGCCUACAAUACCUCCGCCAGUCACAGCAGAGAAACCUGCAAUAACAUCUUCAUCAACUUCUGUUAAAAAUGCCGAGGAGAAGAAGCGAUCUGCAUUGAGCAAGCCUAAAAUGAAACCUACAAUAACAUCCUCAACAACUACUGUUAAAAAUGCCGAGAAACAGAAGCAACUCGUAUUAAGCAUGCCCACAAUACCUCUAGCAGUCACUGCAGAGAAACCUGCAAUAACAUCCUCAUCAACUUCUGUUAAAAAUGCCGAAGAGCAGAAGCAAUCCGCAUUAAGCAAGCCUACAAUACCUCCAGCAGUCAAUGCAGAGAAACCUGCAAUAACAUCCUCAUCAACUUCUGUUAAAAAUGCCGAAGAGCAGAAGCAAUCCGCAUUAAGCAUGCCUACAAUACCUCCACCAGUCACAGUAGAGAAACCUGCAAUAACUACCUUAUCAACUUCUGUUAAAAAUGCCGAGGAGCAGAAGCAACUCGUAUUAAGCAUGCCUACAAUACCGCCACCAGUCACAGCAGAGAAACCUGCAAUAACAUCCUCAACAACUACUGUUAAAAAUGCCGAGAAACAGAAGCAACUCGUAUUAAGCAUGCCUACAAUACCUCCAGCAGUCACUGCAGAGAAACCUGCAAUAACAUCCUCAUCAACUUCUGUUAAAAAUGCCGAAGAGCAGAAGCAAUCCGCAUUAAGCAAGCCUACAAUGCCUCCAGCAGUCAAUGCAGAGAAACCUGCAAUAACAUCCUCAUCAACUUCUGUUAAAAAUGCCGAAGAGCAGAAACAACCCGCAUUAAGCAUGCCUACAAUGCUUCCAGCAGUCACUGCAGAGAAACCUUCAAUAACAUCCUCAACAACUACUGUUAAAAAUGCCGAGAAGCAGAAGCAACCCGCAUUAAGCAUGCCUACAAUGCUUCCAGCAGUCACUGCAGAGAAACCUUCAAUAACAUCCUCAACAACUUCUGUUAAAAAUGCCGAGAAGCAGAAGCAACCCGUAUUAAGCAUGCCUACAAUACCUACAGCAGUCACUGCAGAGAAACCUUCAAUAAUAUCUUCAUCAACUGCUGUUAAAAAUGCCGAGGAGCAGAAACAACCCGUGUUAAGCAUGCCUACAAUGCUUCCAGCAGUCACUGCAGAGAAACCUUCAAUAACAUCUUCAUCAACUUCUGUUAAAAAUGCCGAGGAACAGAAAAAAACCGUAUUAAGCAUGCCUACAAUGCUUCCAGCAGUCACUGCAGAGAAACCUUCAAUAACAUCCUCAACAACUACUGUUAAAAAUGCCGAGAAGCAGAAGCAACCCGUAUUAAGCAUGCCUACAAUACCUACAGCAGUCACUGCAGAGAAACCUUCAAUAACAUCUUCAUCAACUUCUGUUAAAAAUGCCGAGGAACAGAAGGAAUCCGUAUUAAGCAUGCCUACAAUACCUCCAGCAGUCACUGCAGAGAAACCUGCAAUAGCAUCUUCAUCAACUUCUGUUAAAAAUGCCGAGGAGCAGAAGCAAUCCGUAUUAAGCAUGCCUACAGUGAAACCUGCAAUGGCAUCCUCUUCAACUACUUUUAAAAAUGCCGGGAAGCAGAAGAAACACGUAUUAACCAUGCCUAAAGUGAAACUUGUAAUAACAACCUCAUCAACUUCUGUUAAAAAUGUCGAGAAGCUGAAGAAACUCGUAUUAAGCAUGCCUAAAGCGAAGCCUACAAUAACAUCCUCAUCAAUUUCUGUUAAAAAUGUCGAGAAGCAGAAGCAACCUACAAUACCUUCAGCAGUCACUGCGGAGAAACUUAAAAUAACAUCCUCAUCAACUGCUGUUAAAAAUGACGAGAAGCAAAAGCAACCCGUAUUAAGCAUGCCUACAAUACCUCCAGCGGUCACUGCAGAGAAACUAACAAUAACAUCCUCAUCAACUGCUGUUAAAAAAGACAAGAAGCAAGAGCAACCCGUAUUAAGCAUGCAUACAAUACCUCCAGUGGUCACGGCAGAAAAACCUACAAUCACAUCCUCAUUAAAUUCUGUUAAAAAGGACGAGAAGCAAAAGCAACCCGUAUUAAGCAUGCCUACAAUACCUCCAGCGGUCCCGGCAGAGAAACCUACAAUAACAUCCUCAUCAACUGCUGUUAAAAAUGACAAGAAGCAAGAACAACCCGUAUUAAGCAUGCCUACAAUACCUCCAGCGGUCCCGGCAGAGAAACCUACAAUAACAUCCUCAUCAACUGCUGUUAAAAAUGCUGAGAAGCAGAAGCAACCCGUAUUAAGCAUGCCUACAAAACCUCCAGCGGUCCCGGCAGAGAAACCUACAAUAACAUCCUCAUCAACUGCUGUUAAAAAUGACAAGAAGCAAGAACAACCCGUAUUAAGCAUGCCUACAAUACCUCCAGCGGUCACUGCAGAGAAACCUACAAUAACAUCCUCAUCAACUGCUGUUAAAAAAGACGAGAAGCAAAAGCAACCCCUAUUAAGCAUGCCUACAAUACCUCCAGCGGUCCCGGCAGAGAAACCUACAAUAACAUCCUCAUCAACUACUGUUAAAAAUGCUGAGAAGCAGAAGCCACCUGUAUUAAGCAUGCCGGAUCUCGAAUGGGUUUUUGAGCCGACUAUGUCUGAUGAACAAAUUACUGCUGCGUCGUCUAAUAACGUAGAACCCGAAGCAAUUGUCGACUCUACGACAACGGAAAUAUUAACAAAUCAGAAUGAAAACAUAUCAAAAACCGUCGAUGACGUCAGUCCGGAAACUAAACCGCUUACCGCAGCAACUGUGGACGCAGCUGCUUUAGAAAAAGUUACGCCACAGAAGUUAACCUCUGUUCCACAACCACCGAAAAGCGUCUCAACACCCAAUGAAACAGCCGAAGUGAAUGCCAUACUCGCACCCAUAAUUGUACAACCGAUAAUACGUAUACAAAGUCAAACCAACCGUUUAGAGCGCAUAGACCCCUCGCCAAGUACUUCACAGCAAGCUUUCCCGUUUACAAUACCGGAAAGUCUGCCGAAUUUAAUUGAUACGCUGGAUAUUAGUAAAAUUGAAGUAAAUGAUAUCAGUCGUCCAGAACGUAAUUCCACGCCCACACUCGAUGAACUCUUCAAAGAUGAAUACGAAUUAAGUUCAUCGAACAAUUUGCUCUUAGCUCAGGACACAACUGCGCCGCUUGGAGAACCACCGGUUAAACGUUUGUCUGUGGAAAAUGUUAAUAAAAUAAGAACAACAAAUGAAAAUUUCGACAUGUUGAAGAGGGAAGAAAAGCAGCAGAAGAAAGAGCAGUGCAAGCAAAAUGUUUCAAAAACAACCGAUUCGCCUAGUUUUAAAACCGUUGGUUCGGUAACAAAGCCAAUAGAAACUGAAAUAACGACAACGACGAUUUCGGACAAUGCACAUGUACACACGACAUCAGAGAACUACAAACACAGUAAACAACAACAACAGAAACCUUUGGAAGUUCAACCUACUAACCAAACGAACAUCACGACGCCAAAGGAUUUGACUAGCUCUACAACCGUUGAUUCGGUACCGAAGUCAACGAAAACUGAAUUAACUACAACGACGGUUUCGGACAAUGCACAUGUACACACGACAUCAGAGAAUUACACACAAAACGCAGACAGUCAGAAUGAAAAGAAAGCUGAAGAAAGUCCUACAAGUAAACAAAAACAGAAAUCUUUGGAAGUACAACCAACUAAGCAAAAGGAUGACAAAUUUUCUAGCAGUGAGGAACCGAUUCUAAUCUGUAAAGAGACAUUAAUUGCGUUGAAGAAACUUGAAAGUGCCGCCAGAUAUUGGGCACCGAUUACAAUGUUUGACGAGUUUCAACCGCUUUCACCACUUGGAAUGAUGGAAGACUUUCAAUCACUUUCGCCGGGAAGCACGCCUGAAAGGUGUGCUGAAACAUAUACAGAUACAAAAUCAUCAGCUGAAAAACUGAGAAUAUCACCAAGACAACUUUUAGAAGACUGUAAGGUAGAAAAGAGUGUACCAAAAAAAAUUGAAAAGUCAAAAAUUUUGCUCUCCCAAUCGAAUCAGUCAAACGAUGUCCAGCAGUUGUCCACUAAAACUGAAUUACCCAAAAGUAGAUCCUCCACCACAACGUCUAUGACUAAAUACGACAGCAUCAUAUGGUCACCGAUUGUAAUGAUGGAAGACUUUCAAUCACUUUCGGCGGGAAGCACGCCUGAAAGGUGUACUGAAACAUGUAUCGAUGCAAAAUCAUCAGCUGAAAAACGGAAAAUAUCACCAAGAAACCUCACAGAAGAAUGCGUGGUUGAAAAGGGUGUACCAAAAACAUUAGUAAAGCCAAAAGAGUUAUUCUCCCAACCGAAUCAGUCACAUGAUGGCCAGCAGUUGUGCACUAAAACUGUACCCAAAAGUAUAUCCUCCAACACAACUCCUACGAGUAAAUACGAAAGCACCGUAUGGACACCGAUUACAAUGAUGGAGGACUUUCGAUCACUUUCGGCAGAAAGUACGCCUGAAAGGUGUACUGAAACAUAUACAGAUACAAAAUCACCAGCUAAAAAACGGAAAAUAUCAGCAAGACAACUCAUAGAAGACUGCAAAGCAGAAAAUAUUGUACCAGAAGCAUUAGAAAAUUCAAAAGAUUUACUCUCCCACCCGAAUCAGUCAAAUGACAGCCAGCAGUUGGGCACAAAAACUGAGCGACCCAAAAGUAUACACUCCCCCACAAUCCCUACGCCUAAAUACGAAGGAGGGCGCGUAUGGUCACCGAUUACAAUGAUGGAAGACUUUCAUUCACUUUCGGCGGAAAGCUCGUCUGACAGCGGUGCUGAAGAUACAAAACCAUCAGCUAAAAGACGGAAAAUAUCAGCAAGACAACUCAUAGAAGACUGCAAGGCGGAAAAUAUUGUACCAAAAACAUUAGAAGAGACAAAAGAUUUACUUUUCCAACCGAAUCAGUCAAAUGAUGGCCAGCAGUUGGGCACAAAUACUGAACUACCCAAAAGUACAUCCUCGCCCACAAUGCCUACGGCUAAAUGCGAAAACAGUCCUAUGUCAGUCACACCAAGUAGCGAUGAGCAUAGCACCUGUGCCCGCACCAGUAUAGUGCAAAGUAAAAAACGCAAAGGCAGUAUUACAAGCCCAGCCUUAGCGCAUGAAUCGCCGCCAAGUGCGAAAAGCAAUGCCACGGUGGACUUCAACAAAACAAAUGAGAAUACAAAAGCAAGCAGCCAGACAGAGAGAACGGAAGGAGAAGACGAACACCACACGCUGUCCGUCAAAUCAAACCUCAGCAACAACUUAAAGGAUCUUCCGAUAGCAGACGCAAUAAGCAAAAGUGAAACUAAAAAGGAUUCUCUAAGCCAAACACCCACCAAAUCACCACGCUCUCGAAUACCACCCAAACCAAUGUUAGCUGUAGCACCAACAUUACUUCCUCAAAAUGCGAACCGUUUUCAUCCAUAUCAUAACUCUCAAACAGCGCCAAAUGUGGGAAGCACUCAUAAAAGUAAACUGACGCCUGAACGACAACGUCGAGACAGUCUGCUAUCAACACCCGAAAAUAACUCACACAAAAAGAGGGAAACUGUCAAAUCAGCUGAUAAGACUACGCCGCAACGCAAUGCAACAACACGAUCAUCAUUAAUGCAACCACGACUCUCCUCACCAAGGUAUCAGUCCUCCUACGGUACGCCACCAAUAAUUACCGACCCAGCAUCGGCUAAGCUAACAGCCGAAGAGGAGGCGGAUAUAGCGCGUAAACUGACGGAAUACCGCACCAAUUUACCGCCAGCGAAAACUUAUGGCGCACAUAAAGAAAAUCAACGCUUAGUAAAUUUGUAUUCGGAAAUAUUGCGCUUGGAGUAUGCAGAGCGUGCAAUUCGUCGCAAAGCCAAACAAUUACGCAACACUCAACGUCUGAAACGCAAACUCCAAACCGAAUCGAAUCAGGCGCGUUGCAGGAUAUCCUCAGAGCAUAGAGAAAAGCCAGAUGCCACGAAUAGCAGUAACGGUAAUAAGAGAAGUGAUGGUGAUGGUCAUCGCCAGCAAAGAUCUAAACAGCAAUCACAAUAUGUUAAUAAAUUUGGCGAAAUCGAAAAAUUAGUCGAAAAAGAAAAGGUAACGGAAGAUACGGAAGCGAAAUGUUCCGUUCCAUUAACGGCAUCAACGGCUUGGGAGCCCAAAAUGCCAACCGGUCAUGAAUUAAUUGAACUCCUCAGUAAAACAAAGAAAUCGUAGAUCAAAUAAGAAUGGUUUUCAAAUGCAUAAGUUGCUGUUUUUGUCCCAAGUAAAUGCUUCGAUGAGUAAACCAAGAAAUUGAAAAGAAAGAUUGAGCGUAAACACGAAAUGUACAAAAUAUUUAUAUAAAAGUUAUCAGAACUCAGCUCACAAAAAUAUUUUUCACAUAAGUAGCCGCAGACAAAGACAUAUUUUCAGGGUUAUGUACAUAGUAGUUAGUACUAUUAUAUUGUAUUCAUACCCUGAUAUACCCUAGGUGUCCAUGAAGUUUGUUACACCCAAAAGAAAACGACGGAAUCCCUAUAAAGUAUAUAUACAUAUGUACAUACAUAUAAGUAUAUAAAUGAUCAGCGUGUCGAGCUGGGUUAAUUUAACAAUGUCCGUCUGUCUCUCCGUAUAUAAGCGAAUUAGUCCCUCACUGUUUGAGAUAUCCAUCUGAAAUUGUGCACAUAUCCUUUUCUCCCCAAGCAGUUACUCAUUUAUCAGAGUCAAUUAUAUCGAAGCACUAUUGGUGGCCAUACAAAAUUAUCGACCAACAGCAAGUCCUUGUCUGAACAAUUUUUUAUUUGUCAAGAUAUCUUUACGAAAUUUUACUUGGACAACACUACAAUCUCCGGUUAUACAUAUAUGUAUAUUGUUCAAAUCGGAUUACUACCGUUUAUAUAUAUGUAUAUUCAUAUGUAUAUGCAUAUGUACAUAAGUGUCAUAGAAAAUGACCGUUUAAAAAGAAAUUCUUGUAUCAAGUUUUUUAUAUUAUAUUUGUAAGGGGUACUGCAGCUUUGGUUCAACCAAAGUUAACCUUUUUAUCCUUAGUAGCUUCUUUGACUUCGAUUUGAAGCUGUUUAUAGAUUUUAGAAGUUUUUGUUGCAACGCCGAUUAAAAUGUAGAAUUGCUAGCUUCUUUUUAUAGGCAACUAACUAUCUUAUUUUUCUGCAAGUAAAUUAAAAGACAGCCAAUCAUUGUGAACGAUAACUCAUAAGCCCAAUCCCUUUUCGCUACUAUGUAUACACUACUGCUAACAUUUUCCACCAUCUUAAUUGCAAGAAUUCUCCAAUUAGGUGCAGAGUAUAUCACUUUAGUGUAACUAACCUAAGCAGUCGGGUCUAUGUAACUGAAAUGGACCCGAAUUUUUACUCGAUUAAGAACUCUCAACUCACAACAUUCUUCAAAAUUAUUCCACCGUUACGACAACAAAAAAUACAGAAUAAAUCAACAUAUGAUGGCAUAUGGCGAGUAAUAUUAUACUUUGAGCAUAACUGUGCUCUAUACACCAUAUGUUUUAUUUGAAAAGAAAACAAA